rnacentral:rRNA from 1 species
CCUACGGGCGGCAGCAGUGAGGAAUAUUGGUCAAUGGACGGAAGUCUGAACCAGCCAUGCCGCGUGCAGGAAGACGGCUCUAUGAGUUGUAAACUGCUUUUGUACAAGGGUAAACCUGAAUACGUGUAUUCAGCUGAAAGUACUGUACGAAUAAGGAUCGGCUAACUCCGUGCCAGCAGCCGCGGUAAUACGGAGGAUCCAAGCGUUAUCCGGAUUUAUUGGGUUUAAAGGGUGCGUAGGCGGAUUGAUAAGUUAGAGGUGAAAUGUCCGCGCUUAACUCGGGAACUGCCUCUCAUACUGUUGCUCUAGUGUGUAGCUGCGGUAGGCGGAAUGUAUGGUGUAGCGGUGAACUGCUUCGAGAUCAUACAGAACACCGAUUGCGAAGGCAGCUUACCAUUCUAUAUCUGACGUUGAGGCACGAAAGCGUGGGGAGCAAACAGGAUUAGAUACCCCGGUAGUC